AUAUUAAUUUUUCCCACCAAACAUUGUUGCCAGUUGUGUACUUUGCGCCAAUAAUUUUGUAAUCUUCCCGCUAACCACCCUUAAUUACUUUCCCUAUAAUUUUGUUUAUUUUUUCCCACCAAAAAUAUUUAGCUUCUAUAUAAACCUUACCGCUAAUCGCCCUCAUAACUAAUCCCGGUUGGCGCUCCAAACUAAAUCACGGCGUUAUACCACAAGAUUGGAUCUCAUCUCGUUGCUGGUUCCUCCGUGCUCAUGACGGUGUCAAGGAUGCGAACCACACCGGAGUCAACGGCACGGCCAGGGGCACGACGAAUGACUCAGGAUCCAAACAACUAGCUGGACUGGACACUAGAUGACAGACAUAGUUUAGUCUUGGCACUAAAUUAGGAUGCUAAAUUAUAUAUAAGUUUUAUUUGAUAGAUAUUUUCUACGACAAUUAUGAUUUUUAUGAAUCAAUAUGUAUAUUAUACACAUGGUUUUGAAUUUUGUAAUUGAAUGCAUGGGUUUUUUA